GACUGUCAGAAUUUAUACCUAAUUUUACUUAUAAUAAUUUUAAGCGGGUACUUUUCUUUUUUUAACUUAAAAACAUUUCCUCGUAAGAUUUUAAAUAAUUCUUUAUCUUAAAAAAAAUAGCACAUGUCUUUUAUUUUUCAGCAAACAUAAAGGGAGAGAGCAAGAUCAUUCUCGGUCAUCGUCCUCUUCAGCAUCGCCUUCGUCACCCAGCUCCCGAGAAGAGAAAGAGAGUAAGAAAGAAAGAGAAGACGAGUUUAAAUCUCACCAUGAGAUGAAAGACUACUCAGGAUUUGCAGGAGUUAGCAGGCCACGAGGAACCUUUCACGAUGACAGAGAUGAUGGUGUGGAUUAUUGGGCCAAAAGAGGAAGAGGUCGUGGUACUUUUCAACGCGGCAGAGGGCGCUUUAAUUUCAAAAAAUCAGGUAGCAGUCCAAAAUGGACUCAUGACAAAUACCAAGGAGAUGGGAUUGUUGAGGAUGAAGAGGAGACCAUGGAAAAUAAUGAAGAGAAGAAGGAUAGGCGCAAAGAAGAAAAGGAAUAGUCUCAAGAUUGCAUCAGGGAGCAGAACUUGACACUUAAUUUUUUUAAACCUGAUUUUUGUUUUCAAAUAAGAAUGUAAGCAUUUUACUUAAAAUGUACUGUUUGCAAGUAGUCUAUAGAAAUUUUGUUUUAAGUCUUCAAAUAUCUUGAAAAUAGUAGACUGUAUGUUGAAAAUUGUACUGAAAUAAAGUAGAAGACGUUC
rnacentral:lncRNA from 1 species